UUUUAUCUCAUUAAAAUCAAAGGCAACGUAUAUGAGGAAUCUGUAGACCGUGUACCUUCACUGUAUUUCCUCUCCACUGCAGCUAUAACAUCUGCUCAUUUUGAUAAUGUGUUCUCUUCUUUUUUAAAGAUCUCUUUGUUUAUGUAAUUAUGUGAGAGAGCUCUGGCAGGCUGGGGGAGCGGCGGAGGGAAAGAAUCUUGAGGCCGACUCCCCACCGCGUGCAGCACUCGGGCGGGACCCAUGAGAUCAUACCUUGAGCCCAAACCAAGAGUUUGACACUUAACUAAGUCACCAAGGCGCCCAGAGGAUGGAUUCUUUAAAGACAGAAAUAGAAAAGUUUAAAACAUAACCUUACAUUAGUUUUUUUUAAGAUUUAUUUUAGAGAAAGAAAGAGAGAGAGAGAGAGCAAGAGAGAGAGAACACAUGCACAGGGGAGGAGCGGAGGGAGAGGGCGAGAGAAUCCAAGCAGACUCCAUCAGGCAAGUGGUAACUUUCAUGCCUUGUUGUUGGGGACAGAAAUCAACCACUUUGGAAGGCCGUCUGGCGUGUAAUUUCUCUUGUGCACACAGCCCGACCCAGCAUUUAAAUUUUUAGUUAAAUUCCAGUGUAAGUGGCAAAGUUGUAUAAAGAAAGAUAUAUAAGGAUAUUUUUUUGCAAGCGGGAUGGUGGCUCGCUUGAGGCCUGCAGCAGGUGCCCUUGUCUUUGGCUGGACAUUGAUGGACACGCGGUUGAGAGAAAGCCACUCCUCUUUCAUUUUUUGAUUUUAGCGAUUUGUAUCGUCUGUCUUCUUCAUCUUCUGUUAGCCUGGCUAAAAGUUUAUUGGGUUUUAUUGAUCUUUCCAAAGACCCAGUUUUUGCUUUCAUUUAUUUUCUCUAAUGAUUUCCUGUUUUCAAUUUCAUUGAUUUCUGCUUGGACGAGAGCUGAUUGGAGUUGGGUAGUUCCGUUCCCUUGGUUAGACUGGGCUCUGACAGCGCUGCAGCCGGUGAGGUGCGAGGGCAGGCUCUGUCAACAAUGGAGUGUUCUAGAAUAUUUAAAAAUGGUUCCUUUCUCCCAUUUCUGCGGGAAGCACAAGGGGAUUUUUCUCUGGUAUUUAGUGUGAGAGCCUGGACGGUCUGGAGAGACGACUGUAUUUUAUUGCAAGUGAAAAAGCCUUCAGCAGCGGUCUGUGUUCUGCAAUUAAGACCAGGGCAGGCGACUCUUGCAGGAAGGCUGAGCCAGCAGCAGCGAGGAGCCGUUUCGGGAACCUCCUAGAGGGUCUGCGGCCAUAGAACAUGAAGGGAUGCCUCCUACGGAUCCUUAAACUUUAGCUGGAAAUGUAGACGGAAAUACCAGACUUUAUUACAGCAGGUUGAAGACGUGGGACUGAUUCUGCCCGACGUCGUGCUCAUGGAGGUAGUGGCCGCAGGACCCUGAAAUGAAAGCCCCAACCCUCGGUGCUGCUUCCCCUUCUCCCGGCUCAGACCCAGCUCCGGCGGUGAUCCCUCGGCCCGGGGGCUCCGAGUAGUGCUGCGGCAUGGCAUGUGGGUGACUGCGUGGCAGGGUGGCAGCCAGCCGAGUGCCUGCCUGCACUGAUGCCCCUGGCACCCCAGGUCGCUGCUCCCCCGGUUCUCAGCGGGCCCCGACCUCAGGUUCUCGCUCCUGUGCAAUGCCUUGUGCCUCAGUGCGGGUACUCGCCGGCCACUCAACCAGUCCUGAGAGUGAACUACCUGCCAAUACCGGAUUCUCCCAGUGUUUACUGUUAGGCCAAGAAGGGAUGCUGCAUAUUUAAUGGAGCAAUUCAUAGCAGGCACAAAAUGAAGAUAGAAUAUUGAGCUUUCUUCCAGAAGUAAAAAUACCUUGAAGAAUAAUUCUGACUCACAAAGAAAUCAGACAUUCAAAAUCAUAUCACGAUUGUCUCCAGAGUGAGUGCCUUAAAAAACCAUCUAGUCAAAAGCUUAAAGCAAUUACACACAGAUGUGAAAUCCAACGACCUCUAAUUAGCCUCACUUCAAGCCGUGCCCUUGACAAAGAGCCCCAUCUACUCAGGAAAAGAAUGAUGGGGUAAGCAGCUGCUCAGUAAGUAUUUGUUGAAUGAGUCAUUUUAAUACCUGUGUCAUUUCUCAACACUGAACACAGUUUGAUUCUAUUCUGCUGAAUGUUACAUUGUGGAGAUGGAUCUUUUUUUUUU